AUUUGGGGGUCUAGGGUCGAGUGCGCAGAAUUCCCAGUCAUCCGCGUGCGUCUACGCAAAUGAUGAUAACAUCAACUCAGUGCGAUUCAGUUUCGAUCAGUUCUGAGGACUUAACUGGGAUGACAGCAAAAAUGUUAUUGACACUGAUACGUCGCAAACGGGCCAAAGAAAUGCAACUUGUUCCGCUCGAUUACCUUACUCAAAAGAAAACUUCCUCAAGAUGAUUCUGCCUUGCAUUUUGUUUUUGCCUCGUUGCCGCCGUUUCAAGAGCCACUGUGUUGUCAUGGGGAAGGGGUACAUGGUCUUCACGACUACUAUGAGUACGAAAAGCGAUCGAUUCUGGUGCUACGUCUAAAGACUGUCUGUUAACGUUGAAAAUUAGGAACCGGAAGCGGAAAUGGAAAAACGGAAGAAUACUCAUAACGUGCAACUCAAUUCAAAGUUUUUUUUUUUUUCAAACUAUUAUGCUCAAGAAGAGAUUAAAGGACAUUAAUAAUACAAAUUUUUUUAGGGGGGUAUUGAUAUUUUCUAAUCAAGCUGGCCAAUUGGGUAUUUCAAAAUACCGAAUUCUCGCACAUCUUGUCCGAUCUUCUCCAUUUUUUUUUUCGUUUUUUAACUAUUUAUGUUUGAUGUGUUAAUACUGUUUUCUUUUAUUCAUCGGUAUUAUAUGUCUAAGUUGUC